GACGAACGCUGGCGGCGUGCUUAACACAUGCAAGUCGGACGGAAAGGCCCUGCUUGCAGGGUACUCGAGUGGCGAACGGGUGAGUAACACGUGGGUGAUCUGCCCUGCACUUCGGGAUAAGCCUGGGAAACUGGGUCUAAUACCGGAUAGGAGCCAUUUUUAGUGUGAUGGUUGGAAAGUUUUUUCGGUGUAGGAUGAGCUCGCGGCCUAUCAGCUUGUUGGUGGGGUAAUGGCCUACCAAGGCGGCGACGGGUAGCCGGCCUGAAAGGGUGGACGGCCACAUUGGGACUGAGAUACGGCCCAGACUCCUACGGGAGGCAGCAGUGGGGAAUAUUGCACAAUGGGCGCAAGCCUGAUGCAGCGACGCCGCGUGGGGGAUGACGGCCUUCGGGUUGUAAACUCCUUUCGCUAGGGACGAAGCUUUUUGUGACGGUACCUAGAUAAGAAGCACCGGCUAACUACGUG
rnacentral:rRNA from 1 species